GACGAACGCUGGCGGCGUGCUUAACACAUGCAAGUCGAACGGAAAGGCCCUGCUUGCAGGGUACUCGAGUGGCGAACGGGUGAGUAACACGUGGGUGAUCUGCCCUGCACUUCGGGAUAAGCCUGGGAAACUGGGUCUAAUACCGGAUAGGAGCCAUUUUUAGUGUGAUGGUUGGAAAGUUUUUUCGGUGUAGGAUGAGCUCGCGGCCUAUCAGCUUGUUGGUGGGGUAAUGGCCUACCAAGGCGGCGACGGGUAGCCGGCCUGAGAGGGUGGACGGCCACAUUGGGACUGAGAUACGGCCCAGACUCCUACGGGAGGCAGCAGUGGGGAAUAUUGCACAAUGGGCGCAAGCCUGAUGCAGCAACGCCGCGUGGGGGAUGACGGCCUUCGGGUUGUAAACUCCUUUCGCUAGGGACGAAGCUUUUUGUGACGGUACCUAGAUAAGAAGCACCGGCUAACUACGUG
rnacentral:rRNA from 1 species